AGAGUUUGAUCCUGGCUCAGGAUGAACGCUGGCGGUCUGCUUAACACAUGCAAGUCGAACGGAGUAGAAAUACUUAGUGGCGGACGGGUGAGUAACGCGUGAGAAUCUGCCUUCAGGACGGAGACAACAGUUGGAAACGACUGCUAAGCCCCGAUGAACCGAAAGGGAAAAUAUUUAUAGCCUGAAGAUGAGCUCGCGUCCGAUUAGCUAGUUGGCGGAGUAAAAGCCCACCAAGGCGACGAUCGGUAGCUGGUCUGAGAGGACGAUCAGCCACACUGGGACUGAGACACGGCCCAGACUCCUACGGGAGGCAGCAGUGGGGAAUUUUCCGCAAUGGGCGAAAGCCUGACGGAGCAAGACCGCGUGGGGGAAGAAGGCUCUUGGGUUGUAAACCCCUUUUCUCUGGGAAGAAAGUUGUGAAAGCAACCUGACGGUACCAGAGGAAUCAGCAUCGGCUAACUCCGUGCCACAGCCGCGGUAAGACGGAGGAUGCAAGCGUUAUCCGGAAUGAUUGGGCGUAAAGCGUCCGCAGGUGGCAGUCCAAGUCUGCUGUCAAAGACCGGGGCUUAACUUCGGAAAGGCAGUGGAAACUGAACAGCUAGAGUAUGGUAGGGGCAGAGGGAAUUCCUGGUGUAGCGGUGAAAUGCGUAGAGAUCAGGAAGAACAUCGGUGGCGAAGGCGCUCUGCUGGACCAUAACUGACACUCAGGGACGAAAGCUAGGGGAGCGAAUGGGAUUAGAUACCCCAGUAGUCC
rnacentral:rRNA from 1 species